rnacentral:rRNA from 1 species
GACGAACGCUGGCGGCGUGCUUAACACAUGCGAGUCGAACGGAAAGGCCCUGCUUUUGUGGGGUGCUCGAGUGGCGAACGGGUGAGUAACGCGUGAGUAACCUGCCCUUGACUUUGGGAUAACUUCAGGAAACUGGGGCUAAUACCGGAUAGGAGCUCCUGCUGCAUGGUGGGGGUUGGAAAGUUUCGGCGGUUGGGGAUGGACUCGCGGCUUAUCAGCUUGUUGGUGGGGUAGUGGCUUACCAUGGCUUUGACGGGUAGCCGGCCUGAGAGGGUGACCGGCCACAUUGGGACUGAGAUACGGCCCAGACUCCUACGGGAGGCAGCAGUGGGGAAUAUUGCACAAUGGGCGGAGGCCUGAUGCAGCAACGCCGCGUGCGGGAUGACGGCCUUCGGGUUGUAAACCGCUUUCGCCUGUGACGAAGCGUGAGUGACGGUAAUGGGUAAAGAAGCACCGGCUAACUACGUG